rnacentral:tRNA from 1 species
CGGAGCGUAGCGCAGCCUGGUAGCGCACUUGCUUUGGGAGCAAGGGGUCGCCGGUUCGAAUCCGGCCGCUCCGACCA